UAUUUAUACAAAUUAAUAUAAUAUUAUACAUAUAAGAAUUAAAUUAUUAUAAUUAUUGCAUAGAUAUUUUUUUCGGAUACUACUCUUGGAAGAUUUGAGUUUUCAGGUACCAUCGGAUCGAGUGAGGAAUAAAAAUGGAUAAGAACAAUAUAAAAGUCAAAUAAAUUGUUUCUAAUUAAUAUAAAAUAAAAAAAAUAAUGAGAGAAUAAUUUUAUCUACCCGCACAAAAAAUAUAAAAUGCGAUAUAAUUAAAUAAACAAACAAUUAGAUGGAAUAAUUGUAAUGCAUAUGAUGCUGAAAUUGAAUAAAUUUUAAUUGAAAAUAAAAAUAAAAUAAAAUAGCUUGAUGCUUAUGAAAUUCAUUGACGAUCAUUUAAUAUGAAAUAUCGAUAAAACAAAUGAUGGAAAAUUUAUAUAAACAAUGAUAAAAUUUAUUUAAAUAUUUAUAAUUAUCAUCGAGAAAGUAUGAUGGAAUAAAAAUGGAAAAAAAACAUUGAAAUUCAUUGCGGGUUUCAUCAAAGUUGGUUCAAUAUAAAUAAAGGAAAAUCCAUUCUGGAAGGAGUAUGCUAAUCACGAGUUGCAUUUUACUGAACCUGACGAUUGAAUUCUAUGAAAUGAUGAGAUAAUAAUUAUUAAACAAAAAAAUAUA